UACAGAGGAUGCAAGCGUUGUCCGGAAUUAUUGGGCGUAAAGAGCUCGUAGGCGGUCUGUUACGUCCGCUGUGAAAACCCAGGGCUUAACCCUGGGCUUGCAGUGGAUACGGGUAGACUAGAGGCAGGUAGGGGAGAAUGGAAUUCCCGGUGUAGCGGUGAAAUGCGCAGAUAUCGGGAGGAACACCGGUGGCGAAGGCGGUUCUCUGGGCCUGACCUGACGCUGAGGAGCGAAAGCGUGGGGAGCGAACAGG
rnacentral:rRNA from 1 species